rnacentral:rRNA from 1 species
ACUCCUACGGGAGGCAGCAGUGGGGAAUUUUGGACAAUGGGGGAAACCCUGAUCCAGCCAUGCCGCGUGAGUGAAGAAGGCCUUCGGGUUGUAAAGCUCUUUCAGACGGAAAGAAACGGUUACAGAUAAUACCUGUGACUAAUGACGGUACCGUCAGAAGAAGCACCGGCUAACUACGUGCCAGCAGCCGCGGUAAUACGUAGGGUGCGAGCGUUAAUCGGAAUUACUGGGCGUAAAGCGUGCGCAGGCGGUUUUGUAAGACAGACGUGAAAUCCCCGGGCUUAACCUGGGAACUGCGUUUGUGACUGCAAGACUAGAGUACGGCAGAGGGGGGUAGAAUUCCACGUGUAGCAGUGAAAUGCGUAGAUAUGUGGAGGAAUACCGAUGGCGAAGGCAGCCCCCUGGGUCGAUACUGACGCUCAUGCACGAAAGCGUGGGGAGCAAACAGGAUUAGAUACCCUGGUAGUCCACGCCCUAAACGAUGUCAACUAGGUGUUGGGGAAGGAGACUUCUUUAGUACCGCAGCUAACGCGAUAAGUUGACCGCCUGGGGAGUACGGUCGCAAGAUUAAAACUCAAAGGAAUUGACGG